rnacentral:rRNA from 1 species
GAACAGAUAAGGAGCUUGCUCCUUUGACGUUAGCGGCGGACGGGUGAGUAACACGUGGAUAACCUACCUAUAAGACUGGGAUAACUUCGAGAAACCGGAGCUAAUACCGGAUAACAUAUUGAACCGCAUGGUUCAAUAGUGAAAGGCGGCUUUGCUGUCACUUAUAGAUGGAUCCGCGCCGUAUUAGCUAGUUGGUAAGGUAACGGCUUACCAAGGCAACGAUACGUAGCCGACCUGAGAGGGUGAUCGGCCACACUGGAACUGAGACACGGUCCAGACUCCUACAGGAGGCAGCAGUAGGGAAUCUUCCGCAAUGGGCGAAAGCCUGACGGAGCAACGCCGCGUGAGUGAUGAAGGUCUUCGGAUCGUAAAACUCUGUUAUCAGGGAAGAACAAAUGUGUAAGUAACUGUGCACAUCUUGACGGUACCUGAUCAGAAAGCCACGGCUAACUACGUGCCAGCAGCCGCGGUAAUACGUAGGUGGCAAGCGUUAUCCGGAAUUAUUGGGCGUAAAGCGCGCGUAGGCGGUUUUUUAAGUCUGAUGUGAAAGCCCACGGCUCAACCGUGGAGGGUCAUUGGAAACUGGAAAACUUGAGUGCAGAAGAGGAAAGUGGAAUUCCAUGUGUAGCGGUGAAAUGCGCAGAGAUAUGGAGGAACACCAGUGGCGAAGGCGACUUUCUGGUCUGUAACUGACGCUGAUGUGCGAAAGCGUGGGGAUCAAACAGGAUUAGAUACCCUGGUAGUCCACGCCGUAAACGAUGAGUGCUAAGUGUUAGGGGGUUUCCGCCCCUUAGUGCUGCAGCUAACGCAUUAAGCACUCCGCCUGGGGAGUACGACCGCAAGGUUGAA